AAAAAAAUAGUUUAAAGAGAAUUUCUAGUUUGAAACUAGAGGGUAGGUAGUCUUUUUUUUUA
rnacentral:tRNA from 1 species